rnacentral:rRNA from 1 species
UACUUUCAGCAGUGAGGAAGGUGGGUAUGUUAAUAGCAUACUCAUUUGACGUUAGCUGCAGAAGAAGCACCGGCUAACUCCGUGCCAGCAGCCGCGGGUAAUACGGAGGGUGCGAGCGUUAAUCGGAAUUACUGGGCGUAAAGCGCAUGCAGGUGGUUUGUUAAGUCAGAUGUGAAAGCCCGGGGCUCAACCUCGGAAUUGCAUUUGAAACUGGCAAACUAGAGUACUGUAGAGGGGGUAGAAUUUCAGGUGUAGCGGUGAAAUGCGUAGAGAUCUGAAGGAAUACCGGUGGCGAAGGCGGCCCCCCUGGACAGAUACUGACACUCAGAUGCGAAAGCGUGGGGAGACAAACAGGAUUAGAUACCCUGGUAG